GAUGAACGCUGGCGGCGUGCUUAACACAUGCAAGUCGAACGAAGCACCUCUCCCGAAGAUUGACACAGCUUUCUGUAGAUUGAUUCAUUUGAGGUUACUGAGUGGCGGACGGGUUAGUAACUCGUUGGUAACCUGCCUCAUAGAGGGGGACAACAGUUGGAAACGACUGCUAAUACCUCAUAGUAAGAAUAAUUCUCAUUUUUUCUUCUUUAAAGUUUUAUCGCUAUGAGAUGGACCCGCGUCUGAUUAGCUAGUUGGUAAGGUAACGUCUUACCAAGGCGACGAUAAGGAGACGGCUAGAGAGAGGGAACGGACACAUUGGGAAUGAGAAACGGCAAAAACUCAUACGGGAGGCAGAAGUGGGGAAUAUUGCAAAAUGGGGGAAAACAUGAUGAAGCGACGACGCGUGAGUGAAGAAGUAUUGCGGUAUGUAAAGCUCUAUCAGAAGGGAAGAUAAUGACGGUACCUGACUAAGAAGCACCGGCUAACUACGUG
rnacentral:rRNA from 1 species